rnacentral:lncRNA from 1 species
GGACGUGACUGUCCGACGGGCAGAGGUUUAACAUUUCUUAGGGUGGGGAUUUUUAGAUGGCUCAGAUGAACUCGUCUGGACGCUUUUUUUUCAGGUCUUACAGUAUGUAGGUGGUGCGUCAAAGCUGGCUUUUUUUUUAGUGCUGUGCCAAACAGCGACAGUGCCGCUCUCCACCUUCAUCAGCUGUCUUCAUCCCCCUCACCGUCUCACGAAGGCAUUCUGCCGCCAGCACGAACCGUCUUUUAACCAGGCCACAUGGUGCUGUGACGGCCCUGUGAAGUCACUGGAUCUCCGUCCUCUUUCCCCACAAUCUGCUGCUGCAGAUGACACCAGCCAUGGACCCC